AUACGGAGGGUGCAAGCGUUAAUCGGAAUUACUGGGCGUAAAGCGCGCGUAGGCGGCUUGAUAAGUCGGAUGUGAAAUCCCCGGGCUUAACCUGGGAAUUGCAUUCGAUACUGUCAGGCUAGAGUGUGGUAGAGGGAAGUGGAAUUUCCGGUGUAGCGGUGAAAUGCGUAGAUAUCGGAAAGAACAUCAGUGGCGAAGGCGGCUUCCUGGAUCAACACUGACGCUGAGGUGCGAAAGCGUGGGGAGCAAACAGGAUUAGAUACCCUUGUAGUCC
rnacentral:rRNA from 1 species